UACGAAGGGGGCUAGCGUUGCUCGGAAUGACUGGGCGUAAAGGGCGCGUAGGCGGUUUGGACAGUCAGAUGUGAAAUUCCUGGGCUCAACCUGGGGGCUGCAUCUGAUACGUUCGGACUAGAGUGGGGAAGAGGGUCGUGGAAUUCCCAGUGUAGGGGUGAAAUUCGUAGAUAUUGGGAAGAACACCGGUGGCGAAGGCGGCGACCUGGUCCUUGACUGACGCUGAGGCGCGAAAGCGUGGGGAGCAAACAGG
rnacentral:rRNA from 1 species